AGAGUUCGUCAUGCUCAGAAUGACGCUGGCGCGUGCUAAUACAUGCAAGUCGAGCGAAUGGAUUAAGAGCUGCUCUAUGAAGUUAGCGGCGGACGGGUGAGUAACACGUGGGUAACCUGCCCAUAAGACUGGGAUAACUCCGGGAAACCGGGGCUAAUACCGGAUAACAUUUUGAACCGCAUGGUUCGAAAUUGAAAGGCGGCUUCGGCUGUCACUUAUGGAUGGACCCGCGUCGCAUUAGCUAGUUGGUGAGGUAACGGCUCACCAAGGCAACGAUGCGUAGCCGACCUGAGAGGGUGAUCGGCCACACUGGGACUGAGACACGGCCCAGACUCCUACGGGAGGCAGCAGUAGGGAAUCUUCCGCAAUGGACGAAAGUCUGACGGAGCAACGCCGCGUGAGUGAUGAAGGCUUUCGGGUCGUAAAACUCUGUUGUUAGGGAAGAACAAGUGCUAGUUGAAUAAGCUGGCACCUUGACGGUACCUAACCAGAAAGCCACGGCUAACUACGUGCCAGCAGCCGCGGUAAUACGUAGGUGGCAAGCGUUAUCCGGAAUUAUUGGGCGUAAAGCGCGCGCAGGUGGUUUCUUAAGUCUGAUGUGAAAGCCCACGGCUCAACCGUGGAGGGUCAUUGGAAACUGGGAGACUUGAGUGCAGAAGAGGAAAGUGGAAUUCCAUGUGUAGCGGUGAAAUGCGUAGAGAUAUGGAGGAACACCAGUGGCGAAGGCGACUUUCUGGUCUGUAACUGACACUGAGGCGCGAAAGCGUGGGGAGCAAACAGGAUUAGAUACCCUUGUAGUCACGCAGUAAACGAUCAUUGCUACGUGGUAGUAGUGCUUCACUCUUUAAGGCAUGACAGUGAACGCAAUUAAGUACUCGUCUUGCUUAGUACGACACAAGCUGAAGUUCAAAGAGACUUCGACGG
rnacentral:rRNA from 1 species